CUGCAGCUAAUUAAGCCAACUGUGCUCUUUCCCCAUGGGGGCCUCAUGUGCCGUGGCCACAGACAGUAGUCCCCUCGGUAAUGUAUGCAGCCUGUUGCUUGUUGGGGUUGCCCUAAGGGACCUUGGAAGACAGCC